GUGGGAGAUGCUGAAGCGGUCGAAGCGCCUGUCUGCAAAGCAGGUCUUAGCGGGUUCGAGUCCCGCCUCCCACUCCA
rnacentral:tRNA from 1 species